GGAAUAUUGGACAAUGGGCGAAAGCCUGAUCCAGCCAUGCCGCGUGUGUGAAGAAGGUCUUCGGAUUGUAAAGCACUUUACGUUGGGAGGAAGGGUAGUAACCUAAUACGUUGCUAUUUUUACGUUACCGACAGAAUAAGCACCGGCUAACUUCGUGCCAGCAGCCGCGGUAAUACGAAUGGUGCAAGCGGUAAUCGGACUUACUGGGCGUAAAGCGCGCGUAGGAGGUUCAGUAAGUUGGAUGUGAAAUCCCCGGGCUCAACCUGGGAACUGCAUCCAAAACUGCUGAACUAGAGUACGGUAGAGGGUGGUGGAAUUUCCUGUGUAGCGGUGAAAUGCGUAGAUAUAGGAAGGAACACCAGUGGCGAAGGCGACCACCUGGACUGAUACUGACACUGAGGUGCGAAAGCGUGGGGAGCAAAC
rnacentral:rRNA from 1 species